CAGUCGCCGCGGUAAUACGAAGGGUGCAAGCGUUACUCGGAAUUACUGGGCGUAAAGCGUGCGUAGGUGGUGGUUUAAGUCCGUUGUGAAAGCCCUGGGCUCAACCUGGGAAUUGCAGUGGAUACUGGAUCACUAGAGUGUGGUAGAGGAUAGUGGAAUUUCCGGUGUAGCAGUGAAAUGCGUAGAGAUCGGAAGGAACAUCUGUGGCGAAGGCGACUAUCUGGGCCAACACUGACACUGAGGCACGGAAGCGUGGGGAGCAAACAGGAUUAGAUACCCCGGUAGUCCCUGUCUCUUAUAC
rnacentral:rRNA from 1 species